GAUGGAGUGCGGGGCCUAAAGCUAAAUGGUAAUUUGAGGCCUUUGGUGGCAAAAAUGUUAGGAAAUUACCAACUAUGUCCAUUUAGAAGUAGCUUAUUACAAAAAUUGGUCAAUUGAUAAAAUAUUACUAAUAUUAGCCAAAAUGGCCAAUUAGCUAUUUGUAGCAAAAAUAAGCUAUAUUCAUUUAUAAAGAGCUCAUUAUAAAAAUUAGUUAAUUGAUAAAAUAUUAUUAAUAUUAGCCAAAUUGGCCAGUUAGUUAUUGUAGUAAAAAAUAUCAAAAUUUUGUUUUUUUUAGUAGGUGCUAUUAGAAUAGAUUUGAGAUGAUUUGGUGAAGUUUUGAGGUAGUUUGAAUUGAAAUUUCAAAGUAAAAAUUGAAUAUGAAAAAAAAUGACAGGUGUAUCACAUAUGUAUCAUAUUUGUAUCGAUUGUGUAUCAUAUGUAUAUCCAUGUAUAUGUAUGUGUGAGAUACAUGCGUGAUACAUGUUUGAUACAUGUGUCACAUAAGAAUUUUUUGACAUCGUGUGUGUGAGAUACAUGUGUGAUACAUGUUUGAUACAUGUGUCGCAAAAGACUUUUUUAAACUCGAUUUAAUUACGAAUUUUUAUACAAAACCAGUCCAAAUCACCUCAAUCUUCCUCAAAUUUUGUAUAUUGACUUAUCUAUAUGUUUUCAAUGAAUUUCGAUUAUACCCAUUUAAAAAAUUCCUUGUCUGUUUCGAUUUUUAGAAUAUUGACUAGAGGUUGGUAAGUUGAAACUCAUAUGUGACAUUUCUGUAAGUUUUCCAAAAUGUUAAUGCGAUUUAUCUGUUAUAGCUCAACCAAAUUCUCCCUGAAAAAUAGCAUAAUAUUUGGAACUAUGCCAUAAUGAUUAUUGACAAAAUAAAUGAUUUAUCAUAAGAUUUACUUAUCAUUAUAAAGAAUUAUAGAAAUAAUUAUUUAAAAUAUACUUAUUAUAUAUAUAACAUAAAUAAAAUUUGGGGCCCUAUAUUUUUUGGGGCCUAAAGCCGUGACUUUAGUUGCCUUGGGGUUGAGCCGCCUCUGUUUACAUAGAGGGACAAUUGAAUCAUGAUAAGGCACCAAGGAAAAACUCUUAAGUACAACAUAACGAACAAUAAUGCAAGUAUAGUUUUAAUUUCCUAAUAGUAAAUCAAACAAAAACGAUAUGCCUUGCAAAAGAAUUUAGACUUAUCGUCCAACAUACUUCUUUCGAGAGGGAGAACAAAAUUAUCUUUGUGUGAUUAAUAGGUUACAGGUUUAAGUCAUAGAGUUAGCCACUAAUCCUUAUAUUAGAAUAGGCUAUUUAAAUCAUAUCUUCUUGAUUUGCGGUUUUUACCUGAACCUUGCAUAAACUUGCAAUCCUCAAUGCACCAAACUUUUUUAUCCACCAUACUUCUUCCACAUAUCAACAUAAAACCUCAAAGGCUUAGGCACAGACAUCCUCCACUUAUCCAAAUCAGGCAAUCCACCUGCAAGAGCAACUGUACUAUCCUCCUGUUUUUUAUUUCCAAGAUUCAACACAAAAACCUCUCCUGGAAAAACCUUGUUCAUUGCCUCUAAAGUCUCUUCCAUUAUCACUUUCCCAUUUUUUCUAAUAUCCUCUGGCUCUACACAACUCCCCCCAACAUUCACCAUUAUCCUCCCUCCUCUCUUCAACUUCCCCUUCAAUUUCUGCCACGUGUCUGGAUUCUGUAGCUCAGGAAUUACACACCCUUUACUGAACAAAUCCACUAAAAGCCCAGAAUACCUAUCUUUCACACUAGCAUUAAGUGCAUUGUUAAUAUAAAUGAAAAGUCUACCUGGGUAUUGUUUUUCAACUUUUGAAAGCCCAAAAUAUUCUCUUCCAACAGAGACCACAGCUGGGUCAAGCUCAUAUCCGUGGAUGACACCUUGUGGGUACAUUUCAAGAAGCAAUUUGGCAGCCGAACCAGCUCCGAACCCGAGUAUUCCUAAAGGCCCAGGUGGUAAAAUUGGAGGAAGAGUUGCAAAAACAUCGUAAUAGGCAUUAGUGAUGGACUUGAAAAGGAAAGAUAUGUUGUGGAUGUUACCAGGAGCAUCUAGAAGAAGAAGGCGAGACCCAGCUAAUGG
rnacentral:lncRNA from 1 species